UACGGAGGGUGCAAGCGUUAUCCGGAUUCACUGGGUUUAAAGGGGGCGUAGGGGGGCGGGUAAGUCGGGGGUGAAAUCUCCGGGCUUAACCCGGAAACUGCCAUUGAUACUAUUUGUCUUGAAUACCGUGGAGGUCAGCGGAAUAUGUCAUGUAGCGGUGAAAUGCUUAGAUAUGACAUAGAACACCAAUUGCGAAGGCAGCUGGCUACACAAAUAUUGACGCUGAUGCACGAAAGCGUGGGGAUCAAACAGG
rnacentral:rRNA from 1 species